GAAAUCCACUGAAGGCAGAGGAAAGACACCCUACACUCUGCUUCUGCUUCCAAGUGGAGGCUUCUUUCAUUUCUAAAGGGGUCUUUCAAAAAGUUCAAAAAUAUGUAGAUGACUAACUCUGGAAAAUACUGGAGUAGACUGUGUUGUAAUAGAAGUGCAGUGACUCACUCACUCCCAGAAACUGGAAACAGAUACAAAUCAGGUCCCAGAUUUCCUUUUGGCAUCAAGCCUGCUUUAAAUUGCAGAAAAAGAUGGACUCAAAUUUUGAUUGUGGGAAUGAUGAAAAUGACAAUGAAAUCGGCUACUGAAAAAGGAAAUAUAUCAAGGUUUGGAAUCAAAAGGUAUUAUCUGGUGAAAGAAUAAAGACAUUUUAAUAUA
ensembl:lncRNA novel transcript